rnacentral:rRNA from 1 species
AUACGGAGGGUGCAUGCGUUAAUCGGAAUUACUGGGCGUAAAGCGUACGUAGGCGGUUAUUUAAGUCAGAUGUGAAAGCCCCGGGCUUAACUUGGGAACUGCAUUUGAAACUGGGUAACUCGAGUUUAGUAGAGGGGAGUGGAAUUUCAGGUGUAGCGGUGAAAUGCGUAGAGAUCUGAAGGAACACCAGUGGCGAAGGCGACUCCCUGGACUAAAACUGACGCUGAGGUACGAAAGCGUGGGUAGCAAACAGGAUUAGAAACCCCAGUAGUCC